rnacentral:rRNA from 1 species
UACGAAGGGGGCUAGCGUUGUUCGGAAUCACUGGCGUAAAGGGCGCGUAGGCGGCCAUAUAAGUCGGGGGUGAAAGCCUGUGGCUCAACCACAGAAUUGCCUUCGAUACUGUAUGGCUCGAGACCGGAAGAGGUAAGUGGAACUGCGAGUGUAGAGGUGAAAUUCGUAGAUAUUCGCAAGAACACCAGUGGCGGAAGGCGGCUUACUGGUCCGGUUCUGACGCUGAGGCGCGAAAGCGUGGGAGCAACAGG